rnacentral:rRNA from 1 species
AACGAACGCUGGCGGCAGGCCUAACACAUGCAAGUCGAGCGAGGACUUCGGUUCUAGCGGCGGACGGGUGAGUAACGCGUGGGAAUGUGCCCUUCUCUACGGAAUAGCCCUGGGAAACUGGGAGUAAUACCGUAUACGCCCUAUUGGGGAAAGAUUUAUCGGAGAAGGAUCAGCCCGCGUUGGAUUAGGUAGUUGGUGGGGUAAUGGCCUACCAAGCCGACGAUCCAUAGCUGGUUUGAGAGGAUGAUCAGCCACACUGGGACUGAGACACGGCCCAGACUCCUACGGGAGGCAGCAGUGGGGAAUCUUAGACAGUGGGGGCAACCCUGAUCUAGCCCUGCCGCGUGAGUGAUGAAGGCCUUAGGGUUGUAAAGCUCUUUCAGCUGGGAAGAUAAUGACGGUACCAGCAGAAGAAGCCCCGGCUAACUCCGUG